UUGGAAUCUGGAGUGAAUGAGGUCAUCUGGAUUUCAUUGUCUUCUUACGAAGCCAGCAGUAAGCUUGGGCAGUCCACUCACCCACCCCUAGGGCCAUAUCUGGGGAUGAAGCCACCCCUGACCUAUACAUAGGAAAUGAUUGAUGUGCCUGGUCUUAUACCCAGUCUGUGUCUGGUUUCUCUACCCCCAGUGCCCUUUGGCUUAGGCUCAGGAUGGGUGGGCCUCCCUUCCCCAGCAGCUGCCUCAGCCCUGAUCAAGGGCAAUUAUUUGGCUCAAGGUGAGUAGUGGUUUUUAAACCCUACUCCCACACACUGCUGAGUCUGUGUUUUCCUUUCUUCCUGACCAGGUAAACUGUCUUGAGCCCCACCCUCACCUGCCUGUGCUGGCAACCAGUGGCCUAGACCAUGAUGUGAAGAUCUGGGCACCCACAGCUGAAGCUUCCACUGAGCUGACAGGGUUAAAAGAUGUGAUUAAGAAGAACAAGCGGGAGCGGGAUGAAGAUAGCUUGCACCACACUGACCUGUUUGAUAGUCACAUGCUGUGGUUCCUUAUGCAUCACCUGAGACAGAGACGCCAUCACCGGCGCUGGCGAGAACCUGGGGUUGGGGCCACAGACGCGGACUCUGAUGAGUCUCCCAGCUCCUCAGACACAUCGGACGAGGAGGAGGGCCCUGACCGGGUGCAGUGCAUGCCAUCUUGAGGCCUCAUACCUAGGUGGGGCAGGCUGGGGCUGCCAACCUGAUCCUGCCUGGGUAACCCUUUCCUGUCCCAGGCCCUACAUUCAGCAGAAAUGCACUUUGGACUUUUUGCUUUAGAUAAAAGAAAGACAUCCCAGGAGAAGGACAAACCAGAGGAGUGAACCAACAAAGAGUACCUAGGAAUGGGAGUUGAGCCCUGGAAUGGGGCUCCAUGGAGAGGUGCAUAGGACUCAGCAGAAAUGGCCUC
rnacentral:sRNA from 1 species